GGCAGUUUGACUGAGCUCGUGAGCUAAUGUAGUGCAGAUCUUUUAUUUGUCUUUACCUUUUAUAAAAUGUGUUAUAUGUGUUAUUAAUUUAUUUGACAUUGUUUAGUUAAUUAUAACGCAAGUUAUUUCAAUGUAGGGUUUGACGCGUAAAUCUAACUUAACUUACAGUACGGGCACACAGUUUACAGUAGAAGAAUUUAAACAGAAGCCAUCAAUUCUGCAUUAAUAACUAUUGUACAUUUAUGUUCAUUUUUCUUUCAGGUCAUUUUCUUGUUGUGUUUGAUGUUUUCCAUUGGCUGAAGACGCCAACUACCGAACUGGAUGAGCAAAACCAUUCAUUUGAGAUGGACGACAUGGAAAGCAAUCAGACUUGAACGGGAAGAAUUUAAUCGAAAGAUUGAAAAACAAUUGAGGAAAGAAGGGAGAUCAUUCAAUUGAGUUUAAGCCUGCAGCCAUUCUUUAAUUGCAGCAGCUGAUGGAUUGGUUGCAUUGUUAUUGGAAUUCGUCAUAACUAGCCUAAAGGGACUGGGUUUUGUAACACUAAUGUGUGGUGAUGGAACAAAUGAUGUUGGUGCACUUAAACAUGCCCACAUAGGUAAGACAUUGUGUAUAUGUUAAAGCUCCCAUAACACACGCUGUUUCUGCGUAUCUGACUUAAAGGUCCCAUUCUUUCUGUGUUUUUGGAGCUUUAAUUGUGUUUACAGUGCGCAAUAUAACAUGUGUUCAUGUUUCACGUGUAAAAAAUGCGGUAUUUUUCACACAAUUUACUUAUCUGUAUAGAUCUGUUUUCACUGUCCUCAAAACGGGUUGAUGUCUUCCUUGUUUUAUGAAGUCCCUCCUUCAGAAAAACGUAUCGAGUUCUGAUUGUGUAGUUUGUUAAGUGUGUUGUGAUUCGGUAGCAGUUUAGCUUGCCGUUAGCUUAGCUGCCGACUGACGUAUUUCUGUGGGUGGAGUUUAGUCAAAAAACUGUUCUAGUGACAUCAUUAAAGCAGGAAGUAGAGGGCUGUAGUCCAAACCGGCCGUUCGCUGUAGGCUUUGAAAGGUGAAUUAUGUUAAUGAAAAUAUAUCGCCUGGCAGUGAACUUUGAGCUUUAUAAUUUUACAGCUAUUAUUUAUGCUAUUAUAGCAACAUUACAUACUAACUAGGGUUUAAAAAAUGGGAUCAGAAAGAACGUGACCUUUAAUCUUGAGUACAUAUAGAGUAAUAUUAUAUCCUUCAUAUCUCUGAAGAAUCUUCAGUUUAAUCAGAUUCAUAAAAGACAGAUCAGCUUUACAGAUUCUUUCCGAUAACGUACGAAAAAAUUCGGAAGGAGGAGUUACGAGCUGCGGGAGGAGCGAACCACGAGUCUUGCAACACAACACUAACUUAUGAUUUGUGUCGUUUAUAUAAUAUGCAUAUACGCACUGAUUUCCAACAUAAUACAAACGUUUUACUUACCACAUGCAACUCAUGACCCAGUUGGGACUUUUCAUGAAAUCCAGCGUUAAACAAACACACGCAAAACGCCACUGCUACCCCGGAUAAACAAACUAUAUCUAUUGUUUCCAUAAGGCUGGCUUUCUUCUCCUUACACCAAAAAACACACUUCUUCUUUCGUGCCAUUGUUUAGUCUUAAUAUAAAACAAGCUGUCGCGUGAAGUGAUGCCUGUGACUUGGCGUCCUUGGUUCUUGCUCUCCCGCUGAUUGAUUGACGUGUGGGCUUGUUUAUCCAAGGGAAUUGCCCAUAAAAAUAAGUAAUGCGUAUGGCUUACCCCUGAAAAUAUGAAUAUUUCGUUGAAGUAUACCUUAAAAUUAUAAUAUUAUCGACUACAAGGGGAUCACACCAAUAUUUGAAAGUUUUUUUUGACGUAUGCGGUCGAGCAACGUGACUUCCGGAGAACAAACCCGAAAACAUGUUCGGGAUGUGUUCGGCGGAACUGGCACGAAUGGCCACCCUACUUCUACGUGGGAUUUCUCGACUCGCUCUGGGUCCUGUUUUCAAUAAAUCCUGUGUAACUUGUAUAUCUGUACUGUAAAAACAAUCGAUGUGAUCCUAAUCCAGAGUUUGUGUUUAUCAGGUGUAGCCC